rnacentral:tRNA from 1 species
GGAGGAGUGGCCGAGUGGUUGAAGGCACCGGUCUUGAAAACCGGCGAAGGGCGACCUUUCGUGAGUUCGAAUCUCACCUCCUCCG